rnacentral:rRNA from 1 species
AGGACGAACGCUGGCGGCGUGCUUAACACAUGCAAGUCGAACGGAAAGGCCCGCUUGCGGGUACUCGAGUGGCGAACGGGUGAGUAACACGUGGGCAACCUGCCCUCAGCUUCGGGAUAACACUUGGAAACAGGUGCUAAUACCGGAUAAUAACCUUUCAUCGCAUGGUGGUUGGUUCAAAGUUUUUCGGCUGAGGAUGGGCCCGCGGCCUAUCAGCUUGUUGGUGGGGUAAUGGCCUACCAAGGCGACGACGGGUAGCCGGCCUGAGAGGGCGACCGGCCACACUGGGACUGAGACACGGCCCAGACUCCUACGGGAGGCAGCAGUGGGGAAUAUUGCGCAAUGGGCGGAAGCCUGACGCAGCGACGCCGCGUGAGGGAUGACGGCCUUCGGUUGUAAACCUCUUUCAGCUCUGACGAAGCGCAAGUGACGGUAGGAGCAGAAGAAGCACCGGCCACUACGCGCCAGCAGCCGCGGUAA